rnacentral:tRNA from 1 species
GCCCCCGGAUCACCGGAGCACCCUCCUAAAGCGGGUGUCGCAGGUUCGAAUCCUGCCGGGGGCACCA